rnacentral:lncRNA from 1 species
AGCAUAAUUAGAGUGCAUUUGUUUCUAACCCGAAAUUUUGUCAUCGAUGACUAUCGUUUAGUAAACGUUAAGCUGCUAGAAACAAAUACAUCGUUUAAUAAACUUUAUCGACCCCACGUAGUCAGACAGAAAUAGAUUACACUCACGCACUGUAAACAAACAGGUAAAAGUGCGGGAAUAAAAUAACCAGGACUUUGCGAAACAACACGUGCUCGUAAUUAUUUAAACGACAGAUGCAGAAACAAAUUUAUCGUUUACACGUCUCAACGAUAAACGAUCAACGACUACGCGACUAUUUUGCGCGUACAUCGUUUAUGUGAACGAUGUCAACGUUGACCAAAAAAUGUAAGAAACAAAUGGAUUAAACGACUACGCGCGUAAUCGUUUACAUCGUUUAGGUUAGAAACAAAUGCGCUCUUAAAGU